GGCACGAGUAAGUGUUGCAGAGCCGGCCCCGUGGUCCACGCAUGAAGUCAUGUGUUAUUUAAAAAUAAAGCAGGCUCUGUGCCCUACUGAGAGAAGAACGGACUUCUACGAAUGUACGUGGACGUAGCUGGUCAGAGGAGGGCCCAAUUUUCAGCCUUGGGAGCAGCAACCAUUCCUGAAUUUGGAGUGUGGUGCUGGGCACCCUCGACUCCCACUCCCUUCUAUGGAGCUAAGAGUACACAGCACGUCCCAGGAGGUGCUCAGCGCCUUGCGGGGUCGGGCCGUCGGGCACUGAAUCAACACAGUUUGCUGCUUAUUAAAGUGGCUUAGAGAGACUUAACAGCACUGGCUAGAACCAAGAAUAGUGCAAGCCGGCAUUGUGCAAGCUUCACAUGCACGGAUCAGCUGCUGAACCUCAAUCCAGACCUGCAGCAGCCCCUCUUGUUCCAGUUGUGAGCCUCACUUAAUCACAGACGGAGAAACUGGAGACAGCCUACUUACUCACCUACCUGCCAAGGACGUUGUGAGGGUGACUCCGUUAAUGUGUGUAAAUUCCUUGUCAUUAGCAAAGGGACAAGUAUCAUUAUUUAUCCUUCCAACAGAAAGAGGGCAGCAAUCUCAGAGGGAUGACUAUGCGACAAUGAGCAUCUCAGGGACAUGUGCCCUUGAUCAGAUAAAUGAUGAGAGCUCUCCAUUCCAGGGAAAACCUAAAGGCAAGAUUUCAUUACCCUGUAAGCUUCAGCCAAGCCUCCUCGUUACACAGCAGAUCAGCCAAGUCUCCUACAUUUCCCAUCUUUUUCCUACUGGCUCCAACCUGAAGUAAUCUUUUUUUUCUUUUAAAGGUGUAAAACCCUGACAAUCUAAUUUAAUGUCUCCCUGGUAUUUUAUGCUCUCAACACCUUCGAAAUAGUUUCUCUGAAUUUCACUGCAAGCAGAAGUGACGGCUUGUUAUUUAAAGAUAGAGUCACUUGCUUAUGGCAUGAUUUGCCCCAGGGAAAUGCAAGCUUCGUUCUACAGAGAGUGAGGUGGUGCCAUACAAGACAGGGGUUACACAUCAACGUGCUGGAAAAGAACAUUCUGAUGGAUGCGGGUGGUUGAAUGAACAAAAGGCUCAAGGCAGGCACCAAAAGAAGGAGCUGAGCAUCUUGCAUAUGCAUCGAAACCAACUUUUGUAAUAAAAAACAAGGUCCGCUUGGAGAGCUUAGCACGCAAAGCCCACACUCCCAGAGAGGCUGGAGAUCCUGCACUCUGCUGUGUUGGGUUUAUUAUAGUCACAGGAACAGUUAAAAAUGUGAAUGAAAAACCUCUGGGAAGAUUGACUGCUUGUUAGAGGUCAAACGCCUGAGGGGGCUCCUUUGCUGUUUAAGUCAAGGACCUUCUUUUUAUUAACAAAAUCUCUGGCUGUAAGAGGGAUACAAGGAAAAGAGAGAAGACCCGAGAGAUCUCAAGGUGAAAGGGGGUGGGGAGAAUCUGGAGGGGGAAUGAAAUGAUAGGGAGAGGCUUAAAGACCAAUAAGUGUAGUAGAGAGAUGUUGCAAGUGUGAAAGUAAAAUGAAUUAUAUUGUAAAAAUAGAAUGGAUUAAAGAAAUGCUGUAAGUACCUUUAAGCAGAAAUAAGGAAUGCUGAAAUACAGGUGUCAGGAAAAGGAAAAUUAAGACAUAAACAAUGAGUCCGCUUAAGCUAAUGGUGAAACAUCAGCCGGAGAUCUGUAAAAGUUAGUAAGAAAAUUGAAUAUGUAUGUCUAGCCUCGGGUAAACUUGUCAGUUCUGCUUUCUUUGGGUAUGUCUACACUAUGGGAUUAAUCCGAAUUUACAGAAUUCGAAUU